CGCGGUGCCAGGAGGGGCGCAGAGGAGAGGUCGCUCCUCUCCCGUGCAGCCACCGCAGGCAGGUGAAGCUGCAGCUUCCCACCUCCUGGAGCAGGUGCCUUUGCUCGCAGCCGAGCUGCUCGGAGCUGCUGUGCAGCAGCCGGGCUGGCAGCCCGUGGGUCCGUGCCGUGGGAGGCUGGCAAUGCAGCAGUGGGCUGGGUGCUGACGGAGCAGCCCCGGGAGCUGCCUGUCAUUGCCCUGUCACAACAGCCCGGUGACUGGGACUUGUUAAUGUGAUAGUUUCUCUCCCUGCUUUGUCUGUAACAGAGAACCUGCCACCUUGAGGAAGGGCUUCAGCUCCACUCCCAUCUUUAAAUCACACAGCCAGCGCCGCGGGGAUGAAACUAAGGAGCAAACCAAUAUUUGGCUGCCCAGAUGUACGUUGAAGGCCGGUUCAGCCUUCAGCAAGGAAAAACUUCUGUGCCGUGUCCAAAAUUUCAAGGCGCUGAAUGAGAAGUUCAUCUUCCUGGCACCCUGACAGCGAAUAUUGAUCACAUAACCCCGAGUGCAGGAACUAGGAGACUGCUCAUCCAGCUAACCGCGCCUCACCUGGAUGGUAGCAGCUGUUAGGAAAAAAUAUUGGUCUGUUGACCGUGUUAAAUGGAUGGCACCGCCUCUAAUACAAAUAUACUGUAGGGAAACAGGGAAGGGGAUGCUUCCUGACACCUGUCUUUAAUCUCUGGAUGCUCUGAGUCCCCAAGAUAAGGAUGGAAGGAGCCUGAAAAUAAUGAAUUACAAAAGUGGUCACAACUGGAAAUUACAGAUAAAUGAAAACCAAAUAGGAAUGCAAAACAAUAUGGUCCGCGUGUACUUCAGUAAAAGCAAGGGAAAAAUGCAAAUGUGCAUGGAAGGGCAUCCACAGAGAUUGCAGAUUCUUCUCGAGAUCGGCCUAAGUGCAACUGGAGAGAAGAGAAGAGGAUAAAGAACAAAAUCCACUUCUAAAGAGGCGUGUUGUCUUACAUGCAGGAGAUACGGGGGGAGGGUUUCUUUACACUAUCAGAGAAUGAGCGAGGUAAUUACUGGAAGGCAUAUAUUGCAAUAAAGAAUUAUGAAACACCAUUUAAUUCUUCUUUCUGGUUGAGUAAUUAAACAAACAGAAUAUCAGCACUAAACGGUGUGAGACGGAUGAGACACCAUGAGCCUUAUACAACCAGGAGCCAGGAUGUCCAUGUCCCUCGGUCCUAAAACAGUCAUCUGUGUUUGCAAGGAAGUUCGGAAAUCACUUAGCGAAGAUAUCGAUACUGGAUCUCCUAGUGGCAUAAAUGCCACACCUUUCUGCUGUGUACACAUUCACACGCCGAAUUUCAUUAUGCCCCCCAAAAUGAGUGACUUAAACUUGGACAAUUAAGUGACAGCAAACUGCCCUCCAAUUCCUUCCCCCUGACCACUGUCUGGGAGACUAAUUUUUAUUGCCAUUGAAAUCAAUUUGAGUUGUAUGACUAACCUCACUGGAGCCAGGAUGCAAGCAGCUAAUGGUCUGCUGACAAUAGCUGGGAACUGGCACAAGUCAGAGCAGAAAUAUUUAAUACCUUGUGACUGGGUGAAUAUUGCUUUUGCACUAUCAGCUUACAAAGGGGAUUUCAGGUGUUGAGGCAUUAAUUCCUCUUCAGAUAUCCAGCUUUCCCCCUUAAGUACAGAAUCACAGCACGGCUAAGGUGGGAAGUGACCUCUGAUCCAACCCUGCUCAAACAGCAGGCUGUCCUGCGUCCAAGUGCCACACCCAAAUGGUUUUUAAGUAACUCGAAGGAAGAAGACUCCACAGCCUCCCUGGGCAACCUGUGCUAGUGAAAAACAGGAAUUCCUAAGUGGAAGGCAUCAAACGUCCUCAGGAGGCCGAGCACGCGCUAAACAAAAUUAGCCAAUACGGACCCAAGAGCAAAAAGGCUGAGGGCACAUCUGCAGGGGCAGAGCAGACCUGAUGUGUUACCUGUGCUAUCUGCCUCCACCAUCCUCAUCCCUACAUCUCAACAACGAGGGAUAUUUCACAGUCAUGCUUCUUCGAAAGUAGGGGCUGGUGGGAAGAGCUGUGCUGCUGAGGCACAUGGUGUUUGCCCACACCUCUCCCUUCCCGCUGCUCCUGUCCUGCUGGGGCCUCGAGCUUUAGAUAUUCAAGACAACCAGUGGGAUUUCCAGCUGGAAACUUGUGCCAUUUCCAGUCCUUUCCCAUCUUGCAGAGAAUCUUUUGUCUAUAAAGUAGCCCAACUGCAGAAAUCAGCAUCUGCAGAAAGAGUCAUCUUGGGUGCCAUUCUAGAAAGGGCUCCGUUUGACAUAGUUAAUACAGAAGAUCCCUUUAAAUAGUAAAACUUUCGCACAUUUGUAUUCAGAGCUGUUACGAUUUUAUUUUUAAAGGGAAUGUAGGUGUUCGCUAGCAGUGGGUGUGAGACUGACAGCACUAGACCAGAGCUCGCCAUUGCAGAACAACUGCUGCAUAGCCUACUGUACUGCAAACCUCUGUGAUGAACAUGCCGAGGUUUGAGAGAGGCCAUCCUUCUCAAGCCUGUUACUGUCCCCGUGCCUGUUCUCUCCUUGUCCUCAAAGUGAGUCAGCUGCUAGGAUGGCCUGCGUGUGUGCACUUGCAGGAGCAGACACAAGAUUACCAGGCCUUGCAGACAGUAAUUACUUUUAAGCUUUAGCACUGCAUUUGGAUUUUGCACUCCAGUGCCAAAGAAGUAGCUUUCUGUGCGACGUCACACUCACUUAACCACAUGCCUGGGUCUGUUUUUUCUUUAUUUGUCAACUGUUUGUUCUUAAAAAUAAAUAGCUCAAACUCUGAUGCAAAGGCUCUUACCAGCUUUCUAUGGGCUGGUAAGCAUGCGUGCUGGUCUAUUCAAUAAAUCACCCUUGAUACGCAAUUUUCCAUAACUGAGGUAUCUUAUGCCUCUCAGCAUCAUUUAAUGGGGACUCUGCAAAGUAUCACACUGAUCCUUUCCCCCACUCCACCCCACUCAGAAACACACCGUGAAAAAAACAAAAAGCACCUCCAGGACAGAACCCCUCCGAACACUUAAAACCCUCUUUUAGUUCUUACCUGAUCCUGUGCCAUCUAUUCCACAUAUGAUAAGGUCAGUAGUGGUGCCAGUACGGUGUAGAUACUUCCUCUUUCUUCAGCUGUGCCAGGUAUAUUACUAAACUGAGUUCACACAUUUUCUUCCAAGACUAUAAACAAAUUUCCUUCAUGCUAUUUCUCUGAAUCUUCCAGCUAAUGUGCUUAGGAUUUUGGUUCAAGUUAUUCAAAAGAAUUCUUCUUUAGCCUAUCUUUUAUUUCUUGGCUUCCUUUGAAUAAUUUAUGGUCAAUUUUUAAUUUUCUCUCACUGGCUGUAGUCUUGUACAGAGAACUCUGAGCUGCAAGCCCAAAUACCAGAGCCAGGAUGCUCCAAAUUCUGCCCCUGCAGAGAAAUUCUGCCUCUGCUCAAAAUAACAACAGAGCCUCUUGCUGUGAGAUCAUCUAAGGCUUCUUGUUCAUUCUCUAGAUUUUAUGGUAGGAUCUUUUGUGAUGAGUUGCAGCUCUGCCUUCCCUCCUUUCAUGUUUUGAAGCUCUUUUGCUGUAAUCAGUCCUCUGAAGCACCAUUCUUUCCUUUGAAUUGGCUGAGAAUUUGGGUUAAAGUGACUGAAGGAUGUGACAACAAAGGAGUGAUUGUCAUCAGGUCCCAAGGAUUUGAUAUGCUGUUGGUUAUAAAAUGCAUUUGGACAGCCCAAGUUGUGUGCCAGAUUAAUAUUUGAUGUCAUUGGACUUGACUGGCUGUAAAGAAGGAAGCUGGAGACGUUGUUGGGAAAAUGGCCAUCUCCCUUUCACCGAGGAGCUUGGGCUCAUGGAAGUUGACAGCCUGACAGCCCAAUCUCCCAUCCGCCCAUACACGCUAGCCAGUGCGAGCGGUGAGCUGUGGCAAUGCAAGUUUUCCCGUGUUUAAUCACUGAUAGGUCAAAUUAUCCUUGCAACCCCUACGUUUCAUGCUUACAUUAUAUUACCAGCAACAACUUUGCUUAGUGUGUUUUCUAUCAUUAUUUGCCAAGUCAUUAAAUUACACUUAGAGUACUGAUGUUUAAUCUGUCCUUACUGCAUAUGUCUGGAGUUUCUCUAUGUAGUCCAUGAAGGUAUGUAGUCACCUGAUAUGCUCAGAAAUCCCACAUUCACUCACAUAUGUCUUAGAGUUAAACAAAUAGAAGUAAAUUUGGGGCUGUAUCAUUAAAGCUGUCAUAAAUGGUCAGGUUUUGUUUGUCUUCUGAUCCUUUAUCUUAACUUAUCCAAAAUACUGCUAGGCUAAUGAGGACCACGUGCCAGUGGCACUUCAUUUAAAAAGGAAAAAAAAGAAAGAAGUUAGUCUCAUGGCACACGGAUAUUAAAAAAAUAAAUCAAAUAAAACUUGGCGUUGUAAAUGGAAAUCAAUGGGCUGCAAAAUUGUAUUUGUUCUAGCUGGAUAGAGUACUUGCCGAGUUCCAAGCUGUCUGUCCCCUGCUGAGGAGAGGCAGGGUCUGCUCUAUGUGUAGUGCAAUUGCAAAGCUACUGUGUAUAAACACGCACCUCUCCACAUGCAAUGCAAUUUAUGCAUGUAAAAAAUAAUAAUUAAUUUUACAACAUCCCAGGAGACACAAAUAUUAGUCCUCUUUUACGGACAGCAUGCAAUGAGACUGGAUAUUUUGUCCAAAGCAAGUCCCUUUUGGGGUCGAAAUUUUUGGCUCCUGGUCUUAUUCUCAAGAAAUUUGACUGUGCCUGUCUUAAAAUUCUUUCAGUAUCUAUGAAUUGCAGACAACAUAAUAUCUGAAUAAUAAUACUAGGUAUAGUGGUGCUCUGUAAUUCCAUGUGACUUCUGGCUCGCUCUGCCUUCUAGUUCACGAUGUGUGGACGUGUAACCGAGGACAGUGUUGGUUCUCAGCAGCACUAUGCUCAACUUGGCUGCUUUUCUACAACUCUGGUUCUUGAUCUUUUGAUAAAUCUUAGGAAAACCGCCUGUGACAUGGAACUCUGCUAAACUGAAAUACUUGCAUAUUACCAUGUAGAACAAAUAAAAAAUAUUUCUAUUAUAAGCAGCUGAUUACUGCUAUGUCUACAGUAUCUGCUUUUUGUCUCCUUCCUUAUUCCAUAAUUUUGAUAAUGAUGACUAUUCCUAUUAGGCAUAUAAGCAACUAAUUGUUCUUGUAUGUUCUCAUUGACUUAUACUGCAUAUAUUUACCAUACAAAAUCUAACGUCUUCAAAGAAUUCUUAUUACACAAAACUACAUUGGUCAAAAACCCUCCAAUACUCUUCUCCCAGGAUUUCUAUGUGUACAGUCCUGAGAACCCAAGUUUUUCACUCUCCAAAGACUGGGUUUUGAAGUUUAUCACCCUGAGGAAGGAAAGCCAACCAAACAUACCUUGAGAGGCUGAAGAAGAUGUUUUCAGGCUGGAGGAUGUACAGCUGGACAGGAAGAUUGGCAACCAGGAUAACAGCUGCCAGCUCUGGCAACAGGAUGAAAGCUAAAUAGAGGAGAGAGGUAAAAUGAGCACAUCUCAUUCUUUGAAGUUUCAUCAGGUGACACUUGACAUUAAAAUAAUGCAGAAAAGGAUUAUUAGUGCAAAAUACUUUGCCGUCAGAGAUCCUGGAUGUUGGGACUUUCAGCCCUGUGGACUCCUUGCGUUCUGUCUGCAGGAGCUGCCCAUUCAGCUACCAGGACUGUCCUACCAAGGAGUCCUGUCCUCUAAA
ensembl:lncRNA